rnacentral:ncRNA from 2 species
UCAGACUCAACGGGGUGCAGUCACGAGCUGCUGAGAGACACCCGUAGAACCUGAUCCGGUUAAUACCGGCGGAGGGAUUUGAGCGAACCUUUCUC